rnacentral:tRNA from 1 species
UGGCUGAGCGGUAAAGCGCUUGGCUUCCGAACAGGGGGUGCGGGUUCGAACCCUGU